rnacentral:miRNA from 1 species
GAGUGCAUUACCUGCCUGCUGG